GAUGAGACUGCGGCCUAUCAGGCUGUUGUCAGGGUAACGUCCUGACAAACCUUUGACGGGUGCGGGCCUUGAGAGAGGGAGCCCGGAGAUGGAUUCUGAGACAUGAAUCCAGGCCCUACGGGGCGCAGCAGGCGCGAAACUUUCGCAAUACGCGCAAGCGUGACGGAGGGAUUUGGAGUGCCUUCUCCUUUGGAGAGGGCUUUUGCCGAGCUUAGACAACUCGGAGAAUAAGUGGUGGGUAAGACGGGUGCCAGCCGCCGCGGUAAUACCCGCGCCACGAGUGGUGACCACGAUUAUUGGGUUUAGAGCGUUCGUAGCCGGCCUGGAAAAUUCUUGAUGAAAUCCUGCAGUCAACUGCAGGGCCUGUCAGGGAGACUGCCAGGCUUGGGACCGGGAGAGGCCGAAGGUAUUCCUGGGGUAGGAGUAAAACGCGCUGCUUGUACAGGCGAUGCAAGCAGAGCUUACAUUCCUGUAAUCCCAGGAGGACCACCUGUGGCGAAGGCGUUCG
rnacentral:rRNA from 1 species